UACGUAGGUGGCAAGCGUUGUCCGGAUUUAUUGGGUUUAAAGGGUGCGUAGGCGGCUUUGUAAGUCAGUGGUGAAAUAUGGCAGCUCAACUGUCAAGGUGCCAUUGAUACUGCGGAGCUUGAGUACAGAUGAGGUAGGCGGAAUUGACGGUGUAGCGGUGAAAUGCUUAGAUAUCGUCAAGAACACCUAUAGCGAAGGCAGCUUACUAGGCUGUAACUGACGCUGAGGCGCGAAAGCUAGGGUAGCAAACGGG
rnacentral:rRNA from 1 species